AGCUGACACACACUUUCCCUCUCUGCCAAAAGGAGAGCAGCUGAUAAACUUGUGACUUGGCUUAAUGAUAAUUUCAUCCUUCAAAAGAGCUUGAAGAGCUGAUGACUCAGUGAAUAUACAAAUGGAAGAAGCCAAUGCCUCAGCCUCUCAGCCUCUUUUUCUGAUUCUGAAUUGUGUCAAGAUGUUUUUAAGCUGCUUUCAGAGAAGGUGGAGUAUCUAUCCCAAGAUGUCUCAGCUUUCCAGGUGACCUUGUGAGUUUGAGAGGUCUUGGGGCUCAUUGGGUCGGAGCUAAAUGAUGCCAGAGGAGGAUACUCUAGCAACUAUUCCAGCUCUCUGGAAGAGUAUGACUACCAACAAAAAAAUAUGUCCCCAAUAUGACCAUUUCCUCAGCAAAAGUAUGGGGGUUAAGAGUGAUUUCAAAAGUACAGAGUUGAAGUGAAAUGUAAAAUUCCUAUUUAGCAAUCCUACAAACUGUUUUAUGUUUGGAUGAGGCUUAAGUAUCAGCUUCUCAAACAAUUGUAACAGCAGUUACAAAUUAAAUCACUA